rnacentral:rRNA from 1 species
UACGAAGGGGGCUAGCGUUGCUCGGAAUUACUGGGCGUAAAGCGCACGUAGGCGGUCUUUUAAGUCGGGGGUGAAAUCCUGGAGCUCAACUCCAGAACUGCCUUCGAUACUGAAAGACUUGAGUCCGGGAGAGGUGAGUGGAACUGCGAGUGUAGAGGUGAAAUUCGUAGAUAUUCGCAAGAACACCAGUGGCGAAGGCGGCUCACUGGCCCGGUACUGACGCUGAGGUGCGAAAGCCAGGGGAGCAAACGGG